rnacentral:rRNA from 1 species
AGCAGCCGCGGUAAUUCCAGCUCCAAUAGCGUAUAUUAAAGUUGCUGCAGUUAAAAAGCUCGUAGUUGAAUUUCGGGACCGAUAUAUCGGUCGUGCCUCGGUACGUACUGGUAUUUUCAGUUUCUCCCUUCUGACGAACCUUGAUGUCAUUAAUUUGGUGUCUUGGGGAAUCAGGACUGUUACUUUGAAAAAAUUAGAGUGUUUAAAGCAGGCUCACGCUUGAAUACAUUAGCAUGGAAUAAUGAAAUAGGACGUUUGAUUCUAUUUUGUUGGUUUCUAGGAUCGACGUAAUGAUUAAUAGGGAUAGUUGGGGGCAUUAGUAUUCAAUUGUCAGAGGUGAAAUUCUUGGAUUUAUUGAAGACUAACUACUGCGAAAGCAUUUGCCAAGGAUGUUUCAUUAAUCAAGAACGAAAGUUAGGGGAUCGAAGACGAUCAGAUACCGUCGUAGUCUUAACCAUAAACUAUGCCGACUAGGGAUCGGAUGAUGUUAAUUUUUAAUGACUCAUUCGGCGCCUUACGG